AUUGAACGCUGGCGGCAGGCCUAACACAUGCAAGUCGAACGGUAGCACAGAGAGCUUGCUCUCGGGUGAUGAGUGGCGGACGGGUGAGUAACGUCUGGGAAACUGCCCGAUGGAGGGGGAUAACUACUGGAAACGGUAGCUAAUACCGCAUAACGUCGCAAGACCAAAGUGGGGGACCUUCGGGCCUCACACCAUCGGAUGUGCCCAGAUGGGAUUAGCUAGUAGGUGGGGUAAUGGCUCACCUAGGCGACGAUCCCUAGCUGGUCUGAGAGGAUGACCAGCCACACUGGAACUGAGACACGGUCCAGACUCCUACGGGAGGCAGCAGUGGGGAAUAUUGCACAAUGGGCGCAAGCCUGAUGCAGCCAUGCCGCGUGUAUGAAGAAGGCCUUCGGGUUGUAAGGUACUUUCAGCGGGGGGGAAGGCGGUGAAGUUAAUAGCUUCACCGAUUGACGUUACCCGCAGAAGAAGCACCGGCUAACUCCGUGCCAGCCGCCGCAGUAA
rnacentral:rRNA from 1 species